rnacentral:rRNA from 1 species
GACGAACGCUGGCGGCGUGCCUAAUACAUGCAAGUAGAACGCUGAAGCUUGGUGCUUGCACCGAGCGGAUGAGUUGCGAACGGGUGAGUAACGCGUAGGUAACCUGCCUGGUAGCGGGGGAUAACUAUUGGAAACGAUAGCUAAUACCGCAUAAGAGUAGAUGUUGCAUGACAUUUGCUUAAAAGGUGCAAUUGCAUCACUACCAGAUGGACCUGCGUUGUAUUAGCUAGUUGGUGAGGUAACGGCUCACCAAGGCAACGAUACAUAGCCGACCUGAGAGGGAUGUCGGCCACACUGGGACUGAGACACGGCCCAGACUCCUACGGGGGGCAGCAGUAGGGAAUCUUCGGCAAUGGACGGAAGUCUGACCGAGCAACGCCGCGUGAGUGAAGAAGGUUUUCGGAUCGUAAAGCUCUGUUGUAAGAGAAGAACGAGUGUGAGAGUGGAAAGUUCACACUGUGACGUUAUCUUACCAGAAAGGGACGGCUAACUACGUG